GGUCUACAUCUUCAUGUUAGUCUACAUCUUUAUGUUAGUCUACAUCUUCACCAACAUGAAGAUGUAGACCAACAUGAAGAUGUAGACCAGCAUGAUGAAGAUGUCUU
rnacentral:pre_miRNA from 1 species